GGAAUGGACUAUAAAGAUGCUUGUGCACCAAAUUCAGGUCUGUAUUCAGGAAUACGCGUCACUGUUUUCCGUGGCUCUGUCAGCUGUUGUGAUUUGAUGCAGGAGAUUUACAAAGGGUAAGUAUUACAAACAGCUAUUAUAUUGAGAAGAAAAUAUUGUCUUUAUUAUGCAAAGUUAGUGUUUAAUUGUUUGUGUGUGAUUAUUUUUAAAAGGAGACCAGGUGAAAAAUAAGCUCGGGCAUCUGUCAAAAGUCCAAGGAUGAGUGAAUCAUUGUUUCCUUACAAACAGGAAAGCAUCACAAGACCCGACAGGAUCAUGUAUCUGCAAAAUAAUUCCCAUCGCCGCAAAUCAGCAGCACACUUCAACUUGUGUUGUUCAUUUGUCACAUUUAUCAUUUAGCAUGCUUAUUAUAAUAAGUGCCUUGGUUUCUGGUUAUGGAUUAAUGAAGUGCUUGUGGAAGUGAUGUGUUUUCAGCUGAUUCUUGAAGGUAGAGAUGUUCUCAUCAGAUCAGAUGAAGGUUGAAUGUUUCUCGAGUGAAGCUUCUGAGGGAACCACUAGGUGGCGCUCAUUCAUUGUUAAACUUUCUCUAUAUAUUUAUUCAGUUCAACAAUAACCUACUUUAACCAUUCAGUUAUCUCAAUAAAUUCAUAGAACAAAUGCUUUGUGACAAUAAGCUGGAAUUUAACAAUCAAUCCAGCAUUAAUCUUGAGUUUACACAGAUCUAAAAGUGUAUCAAACCUUUAAAACAAACUUACCAUGAGUUCUCAGGACAGUCAUUAUUUAAUUUCCAAAAAUCCAUUAAUGGAUAAAUUCCAUGUGAAGAAGAUCUGCACUACUCUUAUUGUACUGUCAGUUUUUACUUGAUUUGUCAUGCACAUCAUCAAUGUACUGUAAUUGCACAUUAUAAUGUGAAAAGUAAAAAAAAAAAAAUUAAUAUGCAUUGUU
rnacentral:lncRNA from 12 species